CGCGCGUGAGAGGCUGAGUGAGUCUAUGAGUGAGAGAGGAAAUCCGUGAGGCGCAUCGCGAACGGCCAACAGUGAGGUGUUCCAGCUAGGCACAGAACGAAACGACAGUCGCGCGAUCACGUGUGAGCCUGAUACUUUGAGAAACUAUUUUUGUUGAAUUUUAUUCCAUCUUUUACUCUGAUAUCAGUGUUGUUGUACUUCACACGGAAAGUUGUGAUUGUGGAUGCUUUUUCGCUGUAAGAAAAAGGAAUCGACUUGUCAAAGAAAUAUAAAAAAGGACUUUAUUCUCUUUUAUAACGUAGUGUCCAAGGUUGUACACAUAUUAGGAGAAGUCUGGGACAACAGCAUUCAAUACACAGAGAUGUGAUUUUCUUCUGCUAGUAUCUAUCACAAGCUUUAUCACACGGAGGAAUGUGUUCGUUUAAUGAAUUCUUUUAUACACCCCGACUUGGUGGUUUUCGACGCCGUUUGGCCCAGUAACACAGUGAGAAAACAACGUCAAAUCCCAGACUCCAUCUGCUCCUCUUUUGCUGCCUGAACGUAGGUCAUUUAUCUUUCACUUGGGAUUUUUUUAAAAACCGUUUUCCUUCACGUAUGCGGGACUGAAACAUUACGUCAUACUGUUUUUGAAAUGAGAAACUUUCUCUGGUAAAGGCGGAAACGGCUGGUUAAUAAAUCAGUAGCGUAGAGAAGCCAGCCUCUCACCAUUUAGUGUUUGGGGCAGGGGCAGUCAUUAAUCACGAGUCUCAACUCAAGCAACAUCAAAUCUCUUCCGGCGCCGUCCUCCAGCCGGAUACAACUUUCUAGUUUCCAAGGGACGGUUGGCAGAAACAUCAUCCUCAACUGCUGCCUCCCGAAACACAUUUUACUACCCUGGGACAUUGUUUCCAGUUCUAUUUUUGGUUGUCACGUGCUCCUGUGUGUCCCACCCGACCGCCAAAGUGGAGGUUCCGGUGUCCAGCAAGCGCCAUCGCGUCUCCUGUGGCUCGAUCGCCGCAGCCGGACCGGACACUUCCGGUACCAAAAUCAUCCGCAGCUGCAGCGCCAGCUUUGCCCAUGGAGGCGCCGAGUUCCAGAAGCCCGUAGGUCGCUACCACCACCUGCAUCAGCAGCAGCAGCAGCAACAGCAGCAGCAACAGCACGGUCAGCCGUUAGACACGUCGGUGCUGGCCAGUGCUGUGCGAGUGGCGGCGACUAUCGGACUGUCCGUCAGUCACUCGGCAGACCCCCCCGGGAGUGACGUCAGCCCGACCAUGAGCUCUCACCAAGCAGAGCUGCCGUACAUUCUUAGAUCUGUCAGCGGUGAGCGUCGAGAUGUUCGUCCCGGUGCGCCGUCAGAACCUAACGAGUACAAUUUCAACUUCAAGAAGCGCGGCCUGUUCCUGCUCAUCAACAACCGCCACUUCACAGACGACACUGGUCAACCGCCGCGCGAGGGCAGCGACGUCGAUGCAGAGAGGUUGGAGGAACGAUUCCAGGACUUGGGUUUCGAGGUGCGGCGUUAUGAUGACGUCACCUGCGCUAAAAUGACGUCACUUUUGUAUGACGCGGCAGCAAGUGACCACUCGGACCACGACUGCUUUGGCUGUGCCGUACUGUCUCAUGGGCGUGAGGGUCUGGUCUAUGCCAAGGACGGUCAUGUGCCCCUUGACCUUCUGGUACUCCCCUUUAAAGGCGACCGGUGUCCAUCCCUCAUUGGCAAGCCCAAACUCUUUUUCAUACAGGCGUGCCAAAGCGAAAGAAGUGGAAACUACCUAGACACGUCGUGUUCCUCCAGGGGGCGCUCUCCUGUUUCUCCCUCCUCCAGCAGACGAUCACCAGUGUCGCCGCCAAGUCUUGCCGGCGACGAGGACUCACCGGAACUCUCGGGCAUAAUACACAUGCGCAAGAUCCCAAUCGAGGCUGACUGCCUCUUCUGUUACUCCACAGUGCCUGGCUACUAUUCAUGGCGGAACAACCAAGAUGGCUCCUGGUUCAUUCAGGCGCUCUGUAUUGUGCUGGAGAACUACAGCACCAAGAUGGAACUCAUGCACAUGCUCACUCACGUCAACCGUAUCGUGGCCUACGAGUUCGCCUCCUGCACAGACAAGGAGUUCUCGGAGAAUAUGAAGACGAUGCCUUGUAUACUUUCAAUGCUCACGAGAUACGUCUAUUUCCGGCCCAAGAAGCAGGAUAUUCGAUAGGAGUUUUUGUAUCUAUGCUAUCAUUCCGUUCAUUCUCAACCGCCUAUUGUUAGAAUUACUUUUAAAAAUGUACGUUAUACAAACAAAAAAAUAAAGAAGACAAAAUCGGUGUGAAAAAAAAU